GUGUCAGCAGCCGCGGUAAUACAGAGGUCCCAAGCGUUGUUCGGAUUCACUGGGCGUAAAGGGUGCGUAGGUGGUCGGGUAAGUCUGAUGUGAAAUCUCCGAGCUCAACUCGGAAAUGGCAUUGGAUACUAUUCGGCUAGAGGGUUGGAGGGGGGACUGGAAUUCUCGGUGUAGCAGUGAAAUGCGUAGAUAUCGAGAGGAACACCAGUGGCGAAGGCGAGUCCCUGGACAACUCCUGACGCUGAGGCACGAAAGCUAGGGGAGCAAACAGGAGGAUAAACCAUUGGAUUAC
rnacentral:rRNA from 1 species